rnacentral:rRNA from 1 species
GAGUUUGAUCCUGGCUCAGGAUGAACGCUAGCGGCAGGCCUAACACAUGCAAGUCGAACGGUAACAGAGAAGAGCUUGCUCUUUUGCUGACGAGUGGCGCACGGGUGCGUAACGCGUAUACAAUCUACCUUUUACAGGGGGAUAGCCUUUAGAAAUGAAGAUUAAUAUCCCAUAGUAAGUUAUCAUGGCAUCAUGAUUACUUUAAAGCUUCGGCGGUAAAAGAUGAGUAUGCGUUCUAUUAGCUAGAUGGUGUGGUAACGGCACACCAUGGCAACGAUAGAUAGGGGCCCUGAGAGGGGGAUCCCCCACACUGGUACUGAGACACGGACCAGACUCCUACGGGAGGCAGCAGUGAGGAAUAUUGGACAAUGGGCGAGAGCCUGAUCCAGCCAUGCCGCGUGCAGGAAGACUGCCCUAUGGGUUGUAAACUGCUUUUAUAUAGGAAGAAACCUUUCCACGUGUGGAAAGCUGACGGUACUAUAAGAAUAAGGAUCGGCUAACUCCGUGCCAGCAGCCGCGGUAAUACGGAGGAUCCAAGCGUUAUCCGGAAUCAUUGGGUUUAAAGGGUCCGUAGGUGGAUAAUUAAGUCAGAGGUGAAAGUUUGCAGCUCAACUGUAAAAUUGCCUUUGAUACUGGUUAUCUUGAAUUAUUGUGAAGUGGUUAGAAUAUGUAGUGUAGCGGUGAAAUGCAUAGAUAUUACAUAGAAUACCAAUUGCGAAGGCAGAUCACUAACAAUAUAUUGACACUGAUGGACGAAAGCGUGGGGAG